UGUGUGUGUGUGUGUGUGUGUGUGUGUGUGUGUGUGUGUGUGUGUGUGUCUGUGUAGCAGUAAAGACUACUAAGCAUGCUCGCAACAAAACUAUAAAAGGGGCGCUCACCUUAUUUAAAUAUCAUUCACAACAGAGCAUUAUUCAUUGUGAACUUAUCAACAACAGGUAAGAAUUGAAAACACUUCUUAUAAAAACAAUAUAUCAAUUUAUUCACUACUUUUACACAUACAUCUAUCUAUACAAUUCGUAACACAUAAGUCGACGAAUUGUCUAGUUAUAAAAAUUGUUAAUGUUUAACAAUUUUUAUAUCGGACCAAUUUGCCGACUUAUGUGUUACCAUCAUCACAAAAUUUUUACACUUGGCGUUAAAUUGGUGUAUUUUCUCUGAGCUAAUGCAGGAAGCAAAUUGUUGCAGUAAAUACACCUCACUCGUAGAUUUGCUUCCUGCAUUGGUAAUUUUUAAAAUUACUUGUCGUCCGUGAAUAUUUGUUUGUUCCCUCGCCGCAAUAAUGGGGUAGGGAGUGUGCUCCUUUAACUCCCUCAGCGGGAUCCACGGUUUAGGCGUUUGUGCAUUCACGAUUGUUACGAACUCCAUCUCAUCCUCCUCCCCUCGCCACAGCUCCUUCAUCAGUGGGACCAUGGAUGAGUUCUUGUCCAUUCCUGCAUAUUUCUGUUGAAAAAUAUUUGAUUAGUGUAUUAUUUGUUUCAGAUUAUCAUCAAAUCAGAUUCAGCGAAUCAUACUAGAGAACUUGAUCGAUAGAUUAUUGUCAUAAUCUCAACUUGACAUCAUCGGAUUGGCAUUCUCUCCAUAAAGCUUGUGCGAGUGAGAGCGAAGCGUGCUACAAGGCAAAAAAAAUUCAAAUUUCUCCCCUACAACAUGUGCUCCCACAUCGUUAUCGGCAACAUUCAGAUUUCAUUUUCUCUACACGGCUUCUGACCUCAUAACCAGUUGAGCUCUCGUUGAGGCAACACACCUGAGAGGUUAACAAGCAAUCUGAAAGGAAGCAUAGCCGGUAUCUACACCUGAGAGGCUAGCUCACAAUUGAAAAGGAAGCAUAGCCACCUAUGCAGUCAAGAAGAUUCACACAGCAUCACCCA